GGGUGUUACAACUCUUUUAGAAUUUGUCUAGCAGGUUUUCUGUUUUUUUCCAGAAACCUGCCCAC